AUUGAACGCUGGCGGCAUGCCUUACACAUGCAAGUCGAACGGCAGCACGGGUGCUUGCACCUGGUGGCGAGUGGCGAACGGGUGAGUAAUAUAUCGGAACGUACCUUAUCGUGGGGGAUAACGCAGCGAAAGCUGCGCUAAUACCGCAUACGCCCUGAGGGGGAAAGCGGGGGACCGUAAGGCCUCGCGCGAUUAGAGCGGCCGAUAUCUGAUUAGCUUGUUGGUGGGGUAAAAGCCCACCAAGGCGACGAUCAGUAGCUGGUCUGAGAGGACGAUCAGCCACACUGGGACUGAGACACGGCCCAGACUCCUACGGGAGGCAGCAGUGGGGAAUUUUGGACAAUGGACGAAAGUCUGAUCCAGCCAUUCCGCGUGCAGGCGAAGGCCUUCGGUUGUAAACUGCUUUGUACGGACGAAAAAGCCUUGGCUAAUACCCAGGGUCCAUGACGGUACCGUAAGAAUAAGCACCGGCUAACUCCGUGCCAGCAGCCGCGG
rnacentral:rRNA from 1 species